ACAUGCAAGUCGAACGAGAAGCUCCCUUCGGGGAGUGGAGAGUGGCGCACGGGUGAGUAACACGUGAGCAACUGCCGGGAAGCCCGGGAUACCCGCCGAGGGGAGGAUUAAUACCGGAUGUGGCCACCCUGCGAUUGCGGGGGAAGCUAAAGGAUUUAUUCACUCCCCGAGGGGCUCGCGGCCCAUCAGCUUGUUGGUGAGGGUAACGGCCCACCAAGGCGACAACGGGUAGCUGGUCUGAGAGGAUGGUCAGCCACACUGGAACUGAGACACGGUCCAGACACCGGCGGGUGGCAGCAGUCGAGAAUCAUUCGCAAUGGGGGAAACCCUGACGAUGCGACGCCGCGUGGAGGAUGAAGGCCUUAGGGUUGUAAACUCCUGUCAAGAGGGAAUAAGCAAGUGAAGGUACCUCUAGAGGAAGGGGCGGCUAAUUCCGUGCCAGCAGCCGCGGUAACACGGAAGCCCCGAGCGUUGUUCGGAUUCAUUGGGCGUAAAGGGUGCGUAGGCGGCGCGGAAAGUCCGGCGUGAAAGGCAGGGGCUCAACCUCUGGACUGCGUUGGAUACUUCCGUGCUUGAGGACUGGAGGGGAGACUGGAAUUCACGGUGUAGCAGUGAAAUGCGUAGAUAUCGUGAGGAAGACCGGUGGCGAAGGCGAGUCUCUGGACAGAUCCUGACGCUGAGGCACGAAGGCUGGGGGAGCGAACAGGAUUAGAUACCCUGGUAGUCCCAGCAGUAAACGAUGUGAGCUUGAUGUGGGGGGAUUCGACCCCUUCCGUGUCGAAGCUAACGCGAUAAGCUCACCGCCUGAGGAGUACGGCCGCAAGGCUAAAACUCAAAGAAAUUGACGGGGACCCGCACAAGCGGUGGAGUAUGUGGCUUAAUUCGAUGCAACGCGAAGAACCUUACCUGGCCUUGACAUGCAUUGUGUCGUCGGUGAAAGCCGGCUAGUCCUGGAAACAGGACGCUUUGCACAGGUGCUGCAUGGCUGUCGUCAGCUCGUGUCGUGAGAUGUUGGGUUAAGUCCCGCAACGAGCGCAACCCUUGUGGUCAGUUACUAACCGGCUUAGCCGGAGGACUCUGGCCAGACUGCCCUGUCAAACGGGGAGGAAGGUGGGGACGACGUCAAGUC
rnacentral:rRNA from 1 species